rnacentral:rRNA from 1 species
AUAUUGGACACUGGGCGAAAGCCUGAUCCAGCCAUGCCGCGUGUGUGAAGAAGGUCUUCGGAUUGUAAAGCACUUUAAGUGUGGAGGAAGGGCCGUAACUUAAUACCUUGCUGUUUUGACGUUCCCGACAGAAUCAGCCCCGGCUGACUUCGUGCAAGCAGCCGAGGUAAUACGAAUGGUGCAAGCGUUAAUCGGAAUUACUGGGCGUAAAGCGAGCGGAGGUGGUUUGUUAAGUUGGAAGUGAAAGCCACGGGCUCAACCUGGGAAAUGCUUUCAAAACUGGCAAGCUAGAGUAGGGCAGAGGGUGGUGGAAGUUCCUGUGUAGCGGUGAAAUGCGUAGAUAUAGGAAGGAACACCAGUGGCGAAGGCGACCACCUGGGCUAAUACUGACACGGAGGUGCGAAAGCGUGGGGAGCAAAC